rfam:Bacillus smithii strain DSM 4216, complete genome.
AGUUGUCAACUCAAUAGCCCUCAUAUAAUCACGAGAAUAUGGCUCGUAAGUCUCUACCCGAUUACCGUAAAUAAUCGGACUAUGAGGGAAAGUAGCUAUCUG